GCACCAGGCGCCACCAUGCGGCGGGUACCGGGAACUGCACGGAGGCCUGCGGCUAUAAAGCAGCGUCCUUCCCUCAAAGUUUGCGGAGUUUUAUUGCCGGUGUGCGGGAAAACGCGGACAGCUGAGCGCCGUCGCGCCGCCGGCCGGCUACCUGCGGACUCACCCAGGAAGGUUUUGGCGCAGUCCGGGAGCCCGAUGUGCCGCAUCCAUCCCGCAACUUCCUCAGCAGUCCACAGCUCCACGGAGAUCAUGGCUGCUGUUUCCUCAGAUCAUCUCAGCCUGCAUCCACAGCAGAAAACAGCGGAACACUCUGAGCACAGCAGGCCGGAGUGGCAGCACGCUUUUUCAGGGUGCAAAAGUGCGCAAACUGCCGCUGCCGCUCUCAGUUUUUAAUUAGUCUGAGCGGAUGGCGGCAGGCGGUCACAUGUUGUGUUUUAUUGUGUGAGUUUGACUGAAGAAAAGUCACAAUCCGUGAGAGAGUGAGACACAAAGCAUCCUACAGCCCGCCCAGACAAAGCAAGUCUCUCUGGAAAAGUCCAGCUUUUGGUCUUUGUAACACCUUGUGUUUUAUUUUGGGGAGCAGCGCGUCCUCCAGGAGGAGAAAACACAGCCUUCAACACGUGUUAACACGCUGCUGCUGCCGCGGCUCCACUCGGGAAAGUUUGUCUGUAACUCCGACGCUACAACACACACACACCUGUCUAACACUCACCUCCUCUUGUUGAGUGAUGAAGCCCCACUUCGCCACGCGUAAACACUCAGAGAGGUGAGCGCGACAUACUGCACCUCUGCAGGUGAGGGCGGAGCGCGGCCCGUGCUGCCUUCAAGAGCAGCUCAGAAAUGCAGCAGAUGAACAGCAACAGACUGAGGGAUUAUGGGUAGUGGAGUUCAUAGCUCCGCAGCAACACUGACUUUCACGUCACUACAACUUCCAGUUUCACAGCAAAUGCAGCAUUUUGUUGUUUUACUCCCAUAACUGAAUGUAUCGGUUCCUCUGAAGAAUCAGACUCAUCCUGAAAAUGAUUCACCCCAAACACCACACCAUGUGACAGGACAGUGGACCUACAGCCAGCCUACAGUCAGUGAAGUUAUUUAUCAAGACUG